AAAGGACUGGCAUCUACCUGAUCCGAGGUCAACCAUAGAAAAAUUGGGGGUUUUAGCGGCUGAGGUUUAUAGUAUUUCAAAAACGAGAUAAAAAUUACUACGUUCAGAGAUUGCUAUAAAUCCGCCGUUGAAUUUGAGGAGUUGCAGUAAAGCAAGCUCCCAAUACUAAGCUAGGCUUAAGGGUUGAAAUGACGCUCGAACAGGCAUGCCCACUAGAAUACUAAUGGGCGCAAUGUGCGUUCAAAGAUUCGAUGAUUCACUGAAUUCUGCAAUUCACAUUACUUAUCGCAUUUCGCUGCGUUCUUCAUCGAUGCCAGAACCAAGAGAUCCGUUGUUGAAAGUUUUGACUUAUUAAAAUAAGACGCUCAGAUUACUUAAAAAUAACAAGAGUUUAGUAGUCCACCGGCAGGCCGUUGCAGGGUAAGCCGCUCCAGGGUAGCUACAGGGUAGCCGUUCCCGGGUAGGUUCGCCCAACAAUUUUCUGCCGAGGCAACAGUGGUAAGUUCACAUGGGUUUGGGAGUUAGAUAACUCUGUAAUGAUCCCUCCGCAGGUUCACCCUACGGAAAAAAUGUGUUGCAUUGAAACGGUUUUAAUUGUCCUAUAACUCAAGCACAGAAAUCUCUCACCGUUUGGAAUAGCAAGAACGAAACUUACAAGCCUAGCAAGACCGCGCACUUAAGCGCAGGCCCGGCUGGACUCUCCAUCUCUCGUCUUCUUGCCCAGUAAAAGCUCUCAUGCUCUUGCCAAACAAAAAAAUCCAUUUCAAAAUUAUUAAUUUCUUAAUGACCUCCGACAACAAAAAAAAAAAAAAAUAAAUUAAAUUUAUAAAAUAAAACUUUAAUCACAACAUAAAAACAAUUUUACUAAUUUUAAUUAUUUAUUAAUUAAUAC
rnacentral:misc_RNA from 1 species